GAUGAACGCUGGCUACAGGCUUAACACAUGCAAGUCGAGGGGAAACGACGGGGAAGCUUGCUUCCCCGGGCGUCGACCGGCGCACGGGUGAGUAACGCGUAUCCAACCUGCCUCUGACUGAGGGAUAACCCGUCGAAAGUCGGCCUAAUACCUCAUGGCAUCGUCUGCGGGCAUCCAACGACGAUUAAAGAUUUCAUCGGUCAGAGAUGGGGAUGCGUCUGAUUAGCUUGUUGGCGGGGUAACGGCCCACCAAGGCGACGAUCAGUAGGGGUUCUGAGAGGAAGGUCCCCCACAUUGGAGCUGAGACACGGUCCAAACUCCUACGGGAGGCAGCAGUGAGGAAUAUUGGUCAAUGGGCGAGAGCCUGAACCAGCCAAGUAGCGUGCAGGAUGACGGCCCUAUGGGUUGUAAACUGCUUUUAUGCGGGUAUAAAGUGAGGGACGUGUCCUUCAUUGCAGGUACCGCAUGAAUAAGAACCGGCUAAUUCCGUG
rnacentral:rRNA from 1 species